UUUUUUGUCUUUUUACGGCCGCACCUGUGGCAUAUGGAGAUUCCCAGGCUAGGGGUCCAAUCGGAGCUGUCGCUGCCAGCCUACACCACAGCCACAGCAACUCCAGAUCCAAGCCACGUCUGCGACCUCCACCACAAAUCACAGCAACGCUGGAUCCUUAACCUACUAAGCGAGGCCAGGGAUUGAACCUGCGUCCUCAUGGAUCCUAGUCAGAUUCAUUUCUGCUGAGCCAUGAUAGGAACUCCUGUAUCCUUCUUUUAGAUUCCACGUAUCAGUACUAUCAUACGAUGCUUGUCUUUCACUGUCCGACUAACUUCACUUGGUACGAUAUUGUCUAGGUCCAAAUAUUUUAAUAAUAUUGUGUGAGAAAAAAAAGGUAGCUCUUUCUUUUUUUAAUCAUGCGCACAUAAUUCCUUAAUAUUAAAGUUUUCUAGAAAUACUCACUUGACAAACUUUCCCAUCCUCACAUCUAACACUUUCCUGUUGACCGUGUGACAAGGGCGAGACUUAAGUUCCUGGUUGGAACCAGGAGAAUGGACACUGGCAUGUCUGUCUGCUUGAGCAGACUGAGUGCCUUUGAGGGUAAGAUGGUGUUUCCUUUAUGUUUCCUUCUGCCUCCACCCUUACCCACCUCCGCACCCAGCAUUCAGCCAAGAUUUCAAUAAACACUGGAAUGACUGCUGUGAACCAGAUCCUGAAGACAAGCUAAGUAGUGCUUGUUUGUGAAUGUCGGUUUAAAGAAGGGAACAGCCACAGUGUCAUAGAAUCUGCUGAACAAUAUGAUUCGGGUGUGAACAAACUAAAGGAGGCUCCGAGAAGGAAGGCUUGAGGAAAAAACUCCGAACCCUAUGACUGUAUCCAGCCUUUUCCAUAUAGGAGACGUCUAUAUUUAAUGGAUGAAAAUCUAUAUGUGGUUGCACAAACAUACAUGAAUAACAGACACAGAUGUGCAGGGAGAGAGAUGCCAUUUUAAACAUAGGAAACCAAGUCCCGAACCCUUGUUUUAAAAAACCCAACAAGUCAUAAGAGGAAUAUUGCACAUCAUUACUUAGCUUUCCAGAUAUAUCAUGGGCAUUUUAGCCCCCAAAGAUGCUAUCUUUUUGCUGAAAGUCUUCAACAAAUUUUUUUACUAUAGUUGAUUUACAAUGUUCUGUCCAUUUCUGCUAUAUGGAAAAGGGACCCAAUCAUACAUUACAUUCUUUUUCUCAUACUGUCUUCUACCAUGUUGUAUCAAAAGUGACUGCAUAAAAUUCCCUGUGCUGCACAGCAAGGCUCCAUUGCUUAUCCAUUCUAAAAGCAAUAAUGUGCAUCUACUAACCCCAGACUCCCAGUCCAUCCCUCUUCCCCCGGCAACCACAAGUCUGUUCUCUAUGUCCAUGAGUCUGUUUCUGUUCUGUAGAUAGCUUCAUUUGUGCCAUGUUUUAGAUUCCACAUAUAAGUGCUAUCAUAUGGUAUCUGCCUUUCUCUUUCUGACUUACUUCACUUAGUAUGAGAAUCGCUAGUUGCAUCCAUGUUGCUGCAAAGGGCAUUAUUAUUAUUAUUUUUUAAUGGCUACUGAGUAGUAUUCCAUUGUGCACAUGUGCCACAUCUUCUUAAACCAUUCAUGUGUCGACAGACAGUUAGGGUGUUUCCAUGUCUUGGCUAUUGUAAAUAGUGCUAUAAUGAACAUCGGGGUGCACGUAUCUUUUUCAAUGAAAGUUUUGUCUGGAUAGAUGCCCAGGAGUGGGAUUGCUGGAUCAUAUGGUAGUUCUAUAUUUAGUUUUCUGAGGUACCGCCAUACUGUUUUCCAUAGUGAUUGUAUCACUGAAAUUCUUAAGCUACUUCAUACUUCAUGUUUAUAUUAAGUCCAUUCAUAUAUUCAUAUACAAUUAAGCAGAAGUUUUUCUCCUGUCUAUACGUAAAAAAAAAACCUGGGUUCUUUUGUCUAGUGUAUGCAUCUGGCUGCCUCAAGAAAAUGCAUUCCAUAAAUAUAUAUCCAGAAUUUCAUUUUUUUUUAAUUUUAAAUUUUUUUGGUCUUUUUGCCUUUUCUAGGGCCACUCCCAUGGUGUAUGGAGAUUCCCAGGCUAGGGGUCUAAUCGGAGCUGUAGCCGCUGCCCUACGCCACAGCCACAGCAACGUGGGGAUCUUAGCCGAGUCUGCAACCUACACCACAGCUCCUGGCAACACCAGAUCCUUAAUCCACUGAGCAAGGCCAGGGAUCGAACCCACAACCUCGUGCCAUGGUUCCUAGUCGGAUUCGUUAACCACUGAGCCACGACGGGAACUCCCCAGUGGCAACUUCUAAGCUGAACACUUCAUGUUUUUUGUUUUCUUUUUAGCCCUGCAUGAGGAAGUUCUGGGACCAGGGAUCAAACCCAUGCCACAGCAGCAACCCGAGCCACAGCAGUGACAAUGCCAGAUCCUUAACCUAGUGAGCCACCAAGGAACUCCGUAAGCUGAUCACUUCAAGUGUGCAUCUAUUAAUUUACAUACAUUCUUGAUUGCAAAAUGGAAUUUGUAGGACGACAAAGCAAAAAACAUUAAGCACAUUCUAUGUUGAGGUUGCUGGGCUACAUACAAAAAUCAACUGAACCAGGCUUCUCAGUCUC
ensembl:lncRNA